rnacentral:sRNA from 1 species
GCUUUCCGCGUUCUCUCCUCUCCGCGGGCAGUGCUAGCUCGCCGCGGCCGCCUCCGGGGUCACGAUUCCGGGGUCGCCCCCAGCACCUCUCCGCCGGGUGCAUCAACCUGAAAAAGCCCCUUCUUCCUGGAAACCUUCCUUCUCCAGCGUUUCAACGGGGAAACUGAUCAGCUGACACUAGCCCCAGUCCUGCGAGGGGCCGGCGACCUUUGACCUUUCUCCAAAGGGGACCACCUGGCUUCAUGUGUGGAUUUCCACGGCUCUUGCCCAGAGGCGGGUACACUGUGUUCCAAUGUGCCACGGAACUCACGCAGUGGCACUUUGUGGCUUCAUGAAGGAAGAGGCAGGCCACGCAACACUUCCUCCCCAAGCCAAGGAGAAGUAUCACUUUUAGAGGCAGAGGAGCGGAAGGCAGUGGGUGUGACCAAAAGUGCCAUUUGUUAAAGCUUAUCUUCCUUGCCAGAUUUUAAAAACUAUUAUGGAAAAUCUCAAGCAUUCACAAAAGUAGAGAGAAAGAAAGGACUCUCAGAUUGUUGGAGCAGAACUACUGAGAAAAAGCAGGCAUUGUAUCUUCAGUUGUCAUCAAGUUCGCAAUCAG